GGCUCUGAGGCGCAAUGGAUAGCGCAUUGGACUUCUAGUUAGUUUCCAAAGAAGUGAUUCAAAGGUUGUGGGUUCGAGUCCCACCAGAGUUG
rnacentral:tRNA from 1 species